AUGCAAGUCGAGCGAGAAAGUCCCUUUGGGGGCGAGUAGAGCGGCGGACGGGUGAGUAAUACGUGGGUAAUCUGCCCUCGAGCCUGGGAUAACCCCGCGAAAGUGGGGCUAAUACCGGAUAAGACCACGUGACAUAUGUCGCGGGGUAGAAGGUGGCUUGUAUUCGUACAUGCUAUCACUUGAGGAUGAGCCCAUGGCCUAUCAGCUUGUUGGUGAGGUAAGAGCUUACCAAGGCUAUGACGGGUAGCUGGUCUGAGAGGACGACCAGCCACACUGGGACUGAGACACGGCCCAGACUCCUACGGGAGGCAGCAGUGGGGAAUAUUGGGCAAUGGGCGAAAGCCUGACCCAGCGACGCCGCGUGGGUGAUGAAGGCCUUCGGGUUGUAAAGCCCUUUCGUGCGGAAAGAACAGCCCUGAGUUGAAUAUGCUCAGGGUUUGACGGUACCGCAGGAAGAAGCACCGGCUAACUCCGUGCCAGCAGCCGCGGUAAUACGGAGGGUGCU
rnacentral:rRNA from 1 species